rnacentral:rRNA from 1 species
UACAGAGGUCUCAAGCGUUGUUCGGAUUCAUUGGGCGUAAAGGGUGCGUAGGUGGCGCCGUAAGUCAGGUGUGAAAUUUCGGAGCUUAACUCCGAAACUGCAUUUGAUACUGCGGUGCUUGAGGACUGGAGAGGAGACUGGAAUUCACGGUGUAGCAGUGAAAUGCGUAGAUAUCGUGAGGAAGACCAGUGGCGAAGGCGGGUCUCCGGACAGUUCCUGACACUGAGGCACGAAGGCCAGGGGAGCAAACGGG